GACGAACGCUGGCGGCGUGCCUAACACAUGCAAGUCGAGCGGAGGUAUUGAGUAGUUUACUAUAAGAUACUUUAGCGGCGGACGGGUGAGUAACACGUGGGCAACCUGCCCUAUACAGGGGGAUAGCCAACCGAAAGGUUGAUUAAUACCGCAUAACCCACAGAUACGGCAUCGUAUUUGUGGCAAAGGAGCAAUCCGGUAUAGGAUGGGCCCGCGACCCAUUAGCUAGUUGGUGAGGUAGAGGCUCACCAAGGCGACGAUGGGUAGCCGAUCUGAGAGGAUGAACGGCCACAUUGGAACUGAGACACGGUCCAGACUCCUACGGGAGGCAGCAGUGGGGAAUAUUGCGCAAUGGGGGAAACCCUGACGCAGCAACGCCGCGUGAGCGAUGAAGGCCUUCGGGUCGUAAAGCUCUGUCUUUAGGGACGAUAAUGACGGUACCUAAGGAGGAAGCCACGGCUAACUACGUG
rnacentral:rRNA from 1 species